GCUAAUUUUUUUAUUUUUAGUAGAGAUGGGGUUUUGCCGUGUUGGCCAGGCUAGUCUUGAAUUCCUGGGCUCAAAGCAUCCACCCUUUUUGGCCUUUUUAAAUGCUGGGAUUACAGUUGUGAGCCAUGCCUGGCUGGAUAAUUCUUAUAACUAUUAAUCAUUUAUAUGCAGAAGUGGAAGGUCUCCCCUUAAGUGUUUCUGAGCUCACUUGUAGAUGGAAGCCUGUGAAUAUUCUAGUUUUGAGAGUUGCUCUCACAUUGGCUUCCUGAGUUUUCUACUCAGAAUGGAUGAGUAUUUGAUGGCAAUUUUUGGGGUCUCUGGCGUACAGCACCAUAAAAACUCCCAUUUUCUUUGCCCUGCUGCUCUCACAGAGGUACUGUCUCUGAAGACUUUGGUCCUACUCCAUGUUCUAGGAUCUGUGGGUUUCUUUUGCUGUCCUAGUUAGUUGGUUUUUGCAAAAGGAUUAAGAACCACGUGGCUGCUAGCAUCUCUGGCUCUAACCAGAACUCUAUGCCUUUUAUAUUUCCCUUUUAUUUCAUUUGGGCGUGGCAACCACCUUGUAAGUUUUACAUAUAGUAUUUCUAUUUGACUAGCCUAUUUUGUGGUAACAAAUUUUGGGGUCUCCUCUUACCCCAGGAAUAGGUUAUGUGUUGGCACUCUAAGCAGAAACAACUGUCGUGGUGGCAACUGUAUUUAACCCCGGAUUAUCUUAACCGAUCCUUGGUGGUGUAUUACAAAUAGAGCACAUGGCCAGGAACUCAUUAACCUACCACCAACCCAGAGUGACACGGGACUAGUUCCUUCUCAGUAUUUACUUGGCGACAGCAGCUGGCACCAUAGGAAGCCCAGACCCAGGCUCAAGGAGUGCAGGGCAUAUCAGGAGGCAGACGCAGAUGUGGCUAACAAUUCAGUGUGGAACUCUACACUAAGUGCACGUGAAGGAAGGAAGCAGCUGUUUUUAUGUUGGUCUCAGAAGGCUUGGGUUUUGUGGAGUGACUUGGGAAGAUGACUGGGCUGGGCCAUGGCCUCUCUGUCCUCUCCUUUAACCAAAGCAGUUUCACUUUUUUCCAUGUUACAUAGUAUGAUCAAAGAUUUAUUUUUUAAAAAAAGGUUUUGCUGUUGAAAAAGGAGGGAAGGACAAAUAGGUAGACUGGGGGUCCUGAGGUGAGGGGUCUGAUGUUUUAUCUGGGUCUGUUUAUACAAGUGUUUGGUAUGAGAAGCAUCCUUGGAUUAUAGCUGAGGAGCCCCCCAACUCACACCCUGAUGCUGCAGUGGGGAGUAACUCCUGAGAUGGGCCAGGCCCAGACGCUGGCUUUACUGCUUGGCAGUGCACAGUCCUGGACAGGGCUUCUGCCUUCUGAGCGCUUCCUCAUCAGUGAACUGGGGAUACCCAUGCAGGGUUCUUGUGUUGCUUGAAUUAGUGAAUGUGUGAAAGAUCCAGUGUAGUCUCUGGCUCAUAGCAGGCUCAGUGAGUGAUGGCUAUAGUGAUUGUCAGGGUCACAGGGCCUCUGCUGAGAGGUGGUACCUGGUUUAGGAUUAGUUAGGUCUCCCCUCAUGGGGGCCUCCUUUCCCUGACAGGGUCAGUAAACUGAAUGAAUUAUGCCCACUUUCCAGGCCAGCCUCUUACCUAUUGGUGUUCGGUACACAUCACCUUGCAUCUGCAUGGCAUUGUGUGGGUCACCUGAUGCGCUAGCUCAUUUGAGUCUUGCAGCCAUUCUGUAGAGCAGACUGUAUUAGUCCCAUUGCACGGAAGAGGAUAUGUAUGGAGAGGGUAAGUAGCAGAUCCAAGGCUACAAUCCUUGUCACCAAAGGUUGAGGAGUCCAGUGCUCUGUAUGGUGCUUUCGGUAUAAACUGAAUCAGAGAGAUACACAGUGACAAGGCACCUUUGUGGGUAGGGUGGAGCCAGGCCAUCGCAGCCAUGGCUUUUGUGAACGUUGACCUAUGAGUCAAACUGAGCUGGUGGGGUGAGGUGAGGGGUGUUUAGGAUAACGCAGCAGGAAUUAUAAGCAAUAUGACUUUAUUUAGUUACUUUGGAAACAAAACCCCCCAAAUGAUGCCUGAACCCAAAGGUACAUAAAAAUGACC